UCAUCUUCGGGGGUAGAGCACUGUUUCGGCUAGGGGGUCAUCCCGACUUACCAACCCGAUGCAAACUACGAAUACCGAAGAAUGUUAUCACGGGAGACACACGGCGGGUGCUAACGUCCGUCGUGAAGAGGGAAACAACCCAGACCGCCAGCUAAGGUCCCAAAGUCAUGGUUAAGUGGGAAACGAUGUGGGAAGGCCCAGACAGCCAGGAUGUUGGCUUAGAAGCAGCCAUCAUUUAAAGAAAGCGUAAUAGCUCACUGGUCGAGUCGGCCUGCGCGGAAGAUGUAACGGGGCUAAACCAUGCACCGAAGCUGCGGCAGCGACACUAUGUGUUGUUGGGUAGGGGAGCGUUCUGUAAGCCGUUGAAGGUGGCCUGUGAGGGUUGCUGGAGGUAUCAGAAGUGCGAAUGCUGACAUAAGUAACGAUAAUGCGGGUGAAAAACCCGCACGCCGGAAGACCAAGGGUUCCUGUCCAACGUUAAUCGGGGCAGGGUGAGUCGACCCCUAAGGCGAGGCCGAAAGGCGUAGUCGAUGGGAAACAGGUUAAUAUUCCUGUACUCGGUGUUACUGCGAAGGGGGGACGGAGAAGGCUAUGUUGGCCGGGCGACGGUUGUCCCGGUUUAAGCAUGUAGGCGGAUGUUCCAGGUAAAUCCGGAACGU
rnacentral:rRNA from 1 species